UUAACUGAAAGUAUUCAGUUGAAACGUUUGCAUAAGUUUGCCGCUAGGGGCGCUGUUCCAACUCCAUACAUAUUUGAGUUA
rnacentral:pre_miRNA from 1 species